rnacentral:rRNA from 1 species
ACCUAAAACGUUGCUUCGGCGGGAACAGACGGCCCUGUAACCACUUGGCCGCCCCCGCCAGAGGACCCCUAACUCUGUUUUUAUAAUGUUUUUCUGAGUAAACAAGCAAAUAAAUUAAAACUUUCAACAACGGAUCUCUUGGCUCUGGCAUCGAUGAAGAACGCAGCGAAAUGCGAUAAGUAAUGUGAAUUGCAGAAUUCAGUGAAUCAUCGAAUCUUUGAACGCACAUUGCGCCCGCCAGUAUUCUGGCGGGCAUGCCUGUUCGAGCGUCAUUACAACCCUCAGGCCCCCGGGCCUGGCGUUGGGGAUCGGCGGAAGCCCCCUGUGGGCACACGCCGUCCCUCAAAUACAGUGGCGGUCCCGCCGCAGCUUCCAUUGCGUAGUAGCUAACACCUCGCAACUGGAGAGCGGCGCGGCCAUGCCGUAAAACACCCAACUUCUGAAUGUUGACCUCGAAUCAGGUAGGAAUACCCGCUGAACUUAAGCAUAUC